GUUGGGUACUCUAUUGAGACUGCCGCUGACAAGGCGGAGGAAGGUGGGGACGACGUCAAGUCAUCAUGGCCCUUACGACCAGGGCUACACACGUGCUACAAUGGGUAUUACAGAGGGCUGCGAAGGUGCGAGCUGGAGCGAAACUCAAAAAGGUACUCUUAGUCCGGAUUGCAGUCUGCAACUCGACUGCAUGAAGUCGGAAUCGCUAGUAAUCGCAGGUCAGAAU
rnacentral:rRNA from 1 species